rnacentral:rRNA from 1 species
UAGGGAAUCUUCGGCAAUGGGGGGAACCCUGACCGAGCAACGCCGCGUGAGUGAAGAAGGUUUUCGGAUCGUAAAGCUCUGUUGUUAAGGAAGAACGAGUGUGAGAAUGGAAAGUUCAUGCUGUGACGGUACUUAACCAGAAAGGGACGGCUAACUACGUGCCAGCAGCCGCGGUAAUACGUAGGUCCCGAGCGUUGUCCGGAUUUAUUGGGCGUAAAGCGAGCGCAGGCGGUUAGAAAAGUCUGAAGUGAAAGGCAGUGGCUCAACCAUUGUAGGCUUUGGAAACUGUUUAACUUGAGUGCAGAAAGGGAGAGUGGAAUUCCAUGUGUAGCGGUGAAAUGCGUAGAUAUAUGGAGGAACACCGGUGGCGAAAGCGGCUCUCUGGUCUGUAACUGACGCUGAGGCUCGAAAGCGUGGGGAGCGAACAGG